UACCAGCACCCCGAGUUGUCGGGACGAUUAUUGGGCCUAAAGCAUCCGUAGCCUGUUCUACAAGUCCUCCGUUAAAUCCACCUGCUCAACAGAUGGGCUGCGGGGGAUACUAUAGGGCUAGGAGGCGGGAGAGGCAAACGGUACUCAGUGGGUAGGGGUAAAAUCCAUUGAUCUACUGAAGACCACCAGUGGCGAAGGCGGUUUGCCAGAACGCGCUCGACGGUGAGGGAUGAAAGCUGGGGGAGCAGACCGG
rnacentral:rRNA from 1 species